UUCUUCUUGUAAUAUAGGAGGUAGGCCCUGUCCUAUGAUUAAAUUAAAUGACCGCAGUAUUUUGACUGUGCUAAGGUAGCGUAGUAAUUUUUUCUUUAAUUGGGAGGUUGUAUGAAGGGGUUAACAAGAAUAUGGCUUUACCUGUUUUCUUUUGAUAAUUUUCUUUUAAAGUUAAAAAGCUUUAUGGUUUUAAAGGGACGACAAGACCCUAAAAGCUUUAUAAAUAGAAAUGUGGAUAAUGAUUAGUUUAUUUAACUGGGGCGGUUGUAUUUGAAAACAUAUACUAUUAUAACAUUGUGGGUGGUUUUUUUUGAGCUUUAGUGCAGUAAGGUAAGUUACUUUAGGGAUAACAGCGUAAUUUUUUUGGAGAGUUCAUAUUGAUGAUGUAAGUUGCGACCUCGAUGUUGAAUUAAAUGGUUUCUUUAGGCAGUAUGAAAGAGGAGAAGGUCUGUUCGACCUGUAAUUGUUU
rnacentral:rRNA from 1 species